GCUGUUUUCAAAGUAGCUGAGCAGAUUUCAUCUCAACAGACAAAGCCGAUGGCAGAAGAUGUUUGGAGAAGAACUUCAGGCCGUGUACUGACAAGAUCAAAGCAGCUCGUGCUCUUUCUGCUUCCAUUUUGAUGGCAAGAAGAAGAAGAAGAUUUCAGCGAAGUGGCGUUCAUGGUCUCAGUGGACAGUCAUGGUCACACACUGCAUGUGGUUUUAAAAGCAACAUGUCUGUUCACCACAACAAUCGAGAUGUGUAAU